GUAGUCCAGACCCGGCGGCGCGACUGCUGGGCUUGGUUCCCCGACCCGGCUUCGGGGCCGCUACACUCAGCCCCCUGCUGAGGCCCCCAGACGGGGAACAGAACCGCCCAGAAGCCUCUCAGUCCCGACUCCAGGCGCCCAAAGUACAGACCGCCUCCCUGAAGCGAGCCGAGUCCCGAGGAUUCUGGGAAACCCCGCCAGGCUCAGAGUGCGCAGGCGCCGCGGUGAGGCGCACAGCGCGGAGGCCUGGGUACUGCGUCCCCGCGCCUGCGCCUAUAGUAUCGCUGGAGGCGUGCGGCGCGCAAGCGCUCCGAAAGUGGGCGGGGCUUAGAGCAGGCGGGCCCAGAAGCGCAUCCUUAUUGAUAGACCCAUCAGAAAAUAGAAGUCACAAAGGAAACCACACCCCAAAUUUUGGAAAAAGCGGCAAAUACUGAAAAUCAUGGCAGGAAGCCAGCUGCCAUGUUGUGAGCUGUCCAUGUGGAAAGAAUUGAUGUGUCCAGACAAAAGCCAGCAAGGACCCCAACCCAGCCAACAGUUUAAAUGAGUACGUCUGCAAGAUGAUUAUCCUCCCAUGAAGGCUUCAGGUGAAUGUCGCACUGGCUAACAACCUGCCUGCAGCCUUGUGGGAAUUGAGGCACCCAGCUAAGCCACACCUGGACUCCUUACCCAAAGACUCUUUUGUUCCAAACGGACCACUCAUCCACGUUCUCUACACUAAGACUGUUCUCAGAUGGAUAGUAAAGCUGAAUUUCCUCACCAAUAAAGUCGCAUCACCUCACAUUUAUGCAGAUGAGCUGGAAAGCCACAGUUCUAACUCAACAUUAUGGAACCGAGUUUUAAACCACUGCUGGCCAAACCUCACUGACUACCUGUAAGCUACCUCGAUGGGUGUCUCCUGGCCUCCUUCUAUGCACUGUUUUAUUCAGAGCUGACCCUGAUGACUCUUCAAUGUUCCCAGACAAUGUUUUUUCAACACCUGGGAUGAACCAGGCACCGUGCUAAGCACAUCUUACGGAUUAACCAGUUUAAAGGAUCCCAACGCAAGUUUUUAUAUGAGGAGUGAUCUGUAUUUACACUUU